rfam:Nematostella vectensis strain CH2 x CH6 NEMVEscaffold_285_Cont22394, whole genome shotgun sequence.
CCUUCGAUAGCUCAGUUUGGUAGAGCGGGGGACUGUAGAUUUAUAAUUGUGAUCCCUAGGUUGCUGGUUCGAAUCCGGCUCGAAGGA